AUCUGAUGAUAUGGGCAGCUUAUGCACAACUUCUUAAAGCACUCCCAAUAUUCAUAUAAGGUCUCCUCAUUAUUCUGCCAAUUAAUGCAUAUCACUUUUCUAAUGUU